rnacentral:rRNA from 1 species
UACGGAGGGUGCAAGCGUUAUCCGGAUUCACUGGGUUUAAAGGGUGCGUAGGUGGGUUGAUAAGUCAGUGGUGAAAUCCCCGAGCUUAACUUGGGAACUGCCAUUGAUACUAUUGAUCUUGAAUACCGUGGAGGUCAGCGGAAUAUGUCAUGGUAGCGGUGAAAUGCUUAGAUAUGACAUAGAACAACCAAUUGCGAAGGCAGCUGGCUACGCGAAUAUUGACACUGAUGCACGAAAGCGUUGGGGAUCAAACAGG